AUUUAUUGGGUUACUUUAUUUAUUCAGGGUGGGUUCCCUCCACCCCAAAAAUACCAGCUCCAGGAAAACCAUGGUAUCUCCCCAGCACUUUGCAGGGCCUGGCAUGUGGAAGAUGUACCAGUAAUAUUUGCUGUAUGAAUGAAUGAGUCUCUUCAUGUGCAGGUGACUUAUCCUGCCUCUGCCACUCGACGGAUGUUUCAGAUGCCCCUUAGCGGAUCUAAUGAUGUUUCCUUGGCUCAAGCACAAAAGACUCCUGCUUAGCUGGGGAAGCAGGGCCAGCUAAUCGGCCUGCCCACAGACACAAGAGGAGAGGGCUUUCAGUGAGUCCUUGACUGUUCCCCAAGUUGAAGACCUCACAGGCGCAGCCUUCACGGGUUUCCCCUUAGCCUCGGGAACCUCCUGGGGGCAGAGCGGGCUGACUGGGAAGGAAGCUGAGGCCACAGACCCUCUGCAGAGCGGCAGGGUG
rnacentral:lncRNA from 1 species